CAGAAGCUGCCACUCCAAAGAGAAUUGACUCAACCACUUUGGAUCUGAGCUGUCACUCCAAAGAGAGCUGACUCGACCACUGUGGACUUAUAAAUAAGUUCAUACUGCUGUUGGAAGUUGUCGUCAGCUGAAGCUGUUGUCAACUGAAGUAGUCAUCAACCGAAGCAGUCGUCAACCGAAGUGGUUGCCAACUGAGCAACAAGCCCUGAUGACCCAUCACCACUGAAGAUCAACGUCUGUGCUACAAACAAUGCUGGACCCCUGCUGAUAGAUACUCAGAAGCUGGAAAUGUAUAGUGGUCUUGAAACAGUCUUCCUGGACUGAGAAUAUAGCCUUCUUCAGACAUGAAAGAAAGAAAAAGUGCUGCAGACCUAACCUGAGGUGAGUCGCCCAAAUGUAGUCCCCAGAGCAGAUCAGAUUUGUAUGGGCACAACUAUCUUGGUUUCGAGUAUAAUGUAGCUUCACCUAUGCCUUGGCUUAUAAAUUAAAUUGGCGCAAACUAAUGUAUUCGGACUCUCAGAGGAUCCCCUUAAUAUUCAUUGUUUCCUAAUGUCAUUGCUUCUCUGGUUUAGGUUUGUAUAGUAUUUUUCAGUAUACAUGUGCAUAUAAAUGGAAAGAGUGCCUUAAAUGAUAUAUUGAAGUGCAGGAAAUUUGCUAAUGUGUCAGAUUAUGACUGAAUUCCAUCCAGUAUAGAGAAAGUUUUACCUUUGGAAUUCCUCUGAAAAAAAAAAAAAAAAAAAA